UUGAUCUUGAGUUUAUUUUUUCCUUUGUUUUACCAGAGAAAAAAUGAAAGUGCUGACGCCCACGAUCAUAUAAAUAGGUCUCGACACUUGCUAGGGAAAACCGUAUGAAAAUUGAGUCGUGUUAUAAUCGUGAAAAAUCAUCAUGAAAGAUUAAUAAAGUACACGAUUUUACGAAGGUGAAGGAAAUGAAAAGAGUGUCCCUAUCUCUGUUUGUGGUAUUCAUUGCGUGUCAAAGGUGCGCAGGACGAGAACUUCCAUGUUCUUCCAUGUUGGUUUUUCACAAGUGCUACACCAAGCGGUCACAUGCUGGAAGAUGUUCUACGCUAGCAUAUACAAGAACCUAUUUACAUAGAUUCACCACAAACGAGAUAUAAUCGCCUAUGUGUCCACUCUACAGAAUCUAUUUCAUUGUACGAUUCUACGGAAAAGUUUAUACUUUUUUAUCCGAUAAAAACACUUAUUAGAAUAACAAAAUCGCACAAUAAUUACACUAAGUUACCUCAAAAUGAGAAGUUAAUGGUUUAUUAAAUUUAUUUUAGAAAAAUUAAUAAGUAUAUUUUUAUAUCUUUA